rnacentral:lncRNA from 1 species
GGGGCAGACACUGGUGCGGGACGACCUGCUCCCGAGGGGGUCCGCAGGCCACACCCAGAGAAACUGGGGCGCCUCCAGUCACCGCCGCGGUCCGCCCCGCCCGAGGCUUUGACCCCCUGAAUCAGCGUCGGGGCAGGGAUCCGCGUGGGGUGGAAGAGGCUGGGAAACUGGGGAGUCCCGGGCCUCCUCUGGAGCCGCCCGCCCUUGGCUGGCUGGUCCUUCUCUUCCUCGGCUCCCGCCGGGCUGGGCCCUGGGCCGCCCUCACUCCCUCCCCUCUGCAGCCUCCCUUGCGUUUGUCAUUCACUCUGCCAGGCUCUCCUUCUGCCUCCGCAUGCCCAACGAUCCGGAGAAAAACACGGACCAUGACAUCAAAAGGCCUUGGCCAAGGAAUCGUGAUUAUUGUGAUACAAGAUUCUGCACCUCAAAGGGGAUCCCUGUAGUGGUGGAGGCAUUCUAAGUCACAGGAUGAGAUGAGAGGCCGGCACAAGCAGUAAAGAAGCCGCGGCCAAAACCCACCAAAACCAAGAUGGUGAUGCGAAUGACCUCUGGUCGUCCUCACUGCUACACUCCCACCAGCGCCAAGACAGCUUACAAAUGCCAUGGCAACGCCAGAAUGUUACCCUAUAUGGUCUAAAAAGGGGAGGCAUGAAUAAUCCACCCCUUCUUUAGCAUAUAAUCAAUAAAUAACCAUAAAAAUGAGCAACCAGCAGCCCUCGGGGCUGCUCUAUGGAGUAGCCAUUGUUUUAUUUCUUUACUUUUUUUUUUUUUUUGAGAGGGAGUCUUGCUCUUGCUCAGGCUGGAGUGCAGUGGCGUGAUCUCGGCUCACUGCAAUCUCCGUCUCCUGGGUUCAAGCGAUUCUCCUGCCUCAGCUUUCGAGUGGCUGGGACUACAGGUGCCCCCACCAUGCCGGCUUUUUUUUUUUUUGUACUUUUAAUAGAGACGGGGUUUCACCACGAUGGCCAGGGUGGUCUCGAACUCCUGUCCUCAGAUGAUCUGCCUGCCUUGGCCUCCCAAAGUGCUGGGAUUAUAUGCGUGAGCCACCGCGCCCAGCCCUAUUCCUUUACUUUUUUUUUUUGAGGUGGAGUCUCACACCUGGCCUCCAAUAUGUUUAUUCAUAUUGCUGAGGCAGGGGAUUGCUUGAGCCCAAGAGUUUGAGGUUGCAGUGAACCAUGAUCAUAAGCUGUAUUUCAGCGUGAGUGAGAGAUUGAGACCUUGUCUCACAAAAUAAAAGUUAAAAAGCCCUUAUCUGGAGGUGAGAAAGCCAAAUACAAAGGUCUUCUCAGUUGGUUCCCAGUCUUCCCAGUCCAGCAGCCUCAGCAUCACCAGGGAGCUGGUUAGGCAAAUUCUCGGCGGCCCCAACCUACUGAAUUGGAGACCCUGAAGAUGGGGCUAUCUGAAUUUUAACAAGGCCUCCAGGUUUGCAUGCUCAAGAUUGAGAACCACUGGCAAAAGCAAACAAUUUGAAUCUGAAGUCAGCCCACCUGCAUUUGAAUACAGGCCCUGCCACUUAAUAACUGUGAUUUAGAGCAAGUUAGUUACUUAACAGCUAGGUUGACCAAUUGUCCGAGUUUGCCUGGCACUAUCCUGAUUUCAGCACUGAAAGUACUACAUUAUCGCUGUGGCUCACGCCUAUAAUCCCAGCUUCUCAAGCUGUCCCUGUGGAAUCCUCAAUAUCGGUACAUUCAUCCCUAUCUAGCAUCCCCUUCCUCCCUCACCCAUCCUGCACCCUCAGAAUUCAUUCUCAGAUCACCUUCCCAGAUUUUUGCCAAUAUCAAUUAAAAAAAUUUUUUAGCCAACCAUGUACUGUGAGUAAGCCAAUAUCAAUUAGCAAAAUCUUUAGUUUCUUUUGGUGAUUCAGUAUCUUCCCCCUGGAGUUUUUUGAUGAUUCAGUACCCUCCUAGAUUUGGCCCCUGGGGCCUGCGGGGAUGUGACUUGUCAUUUAAUUCUGGAGAAAAUGAGGGGUAGGGCUUAUAAGGAGACUCCUUCGGGGCAGGGUCAUUACAGGGUGUGUUACAUAGGGAAAUGCUAGCUGCUGGCUAGCUCUCGCUCUUGAAAGGCUCUUCCUCCCUCAACUGAAAUGGGGAAGGGGGAACCCCGGCCGACUGAGGUCCUGACAUCUUUAGCACAUGGCUUCUUAGGUCACCCAGGGCAUCCAGGUUACCAGCUUGGGAAACAGGAGAUGUAGGUUGGAGGAAGAGGCUACAGCCCACCCUGGAAAUAACUGCCAUCCGUCCCACCCAUAUGGUUAGGCUUUGUGUCCCCACCCAGAUCUCAUCUCGAAUUACAAUCCCCACGGGUUGAGGGAUGGACCAGGUGGAGGUACUUGCAUCAUGGGGGCAGUUUCCCCCAUGCUGUGCUCGUGACAGUGAGUGAGUUCUCACGAGAUCUGAUGGUUUUAAAGCGUGGCAGUUCCUCUUUCUCGUGCUUACAUCCUCGUAACUAUCCUGUGGAGAAGGUGUCUGCUUUCCCCUACCUCCAUGGUUGUAAGUUUCCUGAAGCCUCCCCAGCCGUGUGGAACUGUGAGUCAAUUAAACUUCUUUAUAAGUUACCCAGUCUCGGUGUUUGCUUUUUUGAGAUGGAGAUUUGCUCUUGUUGCCCAGGUUGGAGUGCAAUGGCGUGAUCUCGGCUCUUUGCAACCUCUGCCUCUCGGGUUGAAGCUAUUCUCCUGCCUCAGCCUCCCAAGUAGCUGGGAUUACAGGCGUG